rnacentral:rRNA from 1 species
ACUCCUACGGGAGGCAGCAGUGGGGAAUAUUGCACAAUGGGCGCAAGCCUGAUGCAGCCAUGCCGCGUGUAUGAAGAAGGCCUUCGGGUUGUAAAGUACUUUCAGCGGGGAGGAAGGCGAUAAGGUUAAUAACCUUGUUGAUUGACGUUACCCGCAGAAGAAGCACCGGCUAACUCCGUGCCAGCAGCCGCGGUAAUACGGAGGGUGCAAGCGUUAAUCGGAAUUACUGGGCGUAAAGCGCACGCAGGCGGUCUGUCAAGUCGGAUGUGAAAUCCCCGGGCUCAACCUGGGAACUGCAUUCGAAACUGGCAGGCUAGAGUCUUGUAGAGGGGGGUAGAAUUCCAGGUGUAGCGGUGAAAUGCGUAGAGAUCUGGAGGAAUACCGGUGGCGAAGGCGGCCCCCUGGACAAAGACUGACGCUCAGGUGCGAAAGCGUGGGGAGCAAACAGGAUUAGAUACCCCUGUAGUCCCAUGAU